AUUGCACGCUGGCGGCAGGCCUAACACAUGCAAGUCGAACGAGUUGCGGCCGGGUGAGUAAUGUCUGUGAAACUGCCCCAUUUAUGGGUAUCACUACUGUAAACGGUAGCUACUACCGCAUACCCUCUUCUUUUCCCAGAUGGGAUUAGCUAGUAGGUGGGGUAACGGCUCACUUAGGCGAGGAUCCCUAGCUGGUCUGAGAGGAUGACCAGCUAAACUGGAACGGAGACACGGUCCAGACUCCUACGGGAGGCAGCAGUGGGGAAUAUUGCACAAUGGGCGCAAGCCUGAUGCAGCCAUGCCGCGUGUAUGAAGAAGGCCUUCGGGUUGUAAAGUACUUUCAGCGAGGAGGCGUUACUCGCAGAAGAAGCACAGGCUAACUCCGUGCCAGCCGCCGCGGUAAUUC
rnacentral:rRNA from 1 species